GGAAGUAUAACAAGGUUUCCGUAGGUGAACCUGCGGAAGGAUCAUUAAUGAGUUGUCAUGGGGUUCGAUGCUGGCAGCCAGUUUUUGGAUGCAUGUGCUUGCCCUAACAAUCAUCUUCUUCCAAACACCUGUGCACAUUUUCGAGGGAGUCUUGAGUUGGUUGCCGCUCUUGGGUGAUUUUCUCACAUUCCCUUAAAUCAUUAUACGCUAUUAACAAUGUUGAACGUGCUCUGUGCCGCAAGGCCAUUAAUAUAAUACAACUUUUAACAACGGAUCUCUUGGCUCUC
rnacentral:misc_RNA from 1 species